UAAUUUUAUGUAUAAGCUGGU
rnacentral:miRNA from 1 species